rnacentral:rRNA from 1 species
UACGUAGGCAGCAAGCGUUGUUCGGAAUUACUGGGCGUAAAGAGUGUGUAGGCAGUGUUCUAAGUCUGUUGUGAAAUCUCCCGGCUUAACUGGGAGGGUGCGGCGGAAACUGGAAUGCUAGAGUGCGGGAGAGGAGAAUGGGAUUCCUGGUGUAGCGGUGAAAUGCGCAGAUAUCAGGAAGAACACCCGUGGCGAAGGCGGUUCUCUGGAACGCAACUGACGCUGAGACGCGAAAGCGUGGGGAGCAAACAGG